CUCAAAAAAAAAAGAAAAAAAGAAAACAAACCCCACACGCACACACCGCACACCGGGGCGAAGCGAAGCGGAGUUCUCGUCCACCACCAUCACCCACCGGCGAGCGAUGUCGGCCGCGGCGAAGGCGAGGGCGAGCGGCGGAAAGCUGGAUGGAGCCAAGGACCCGGACUAGGCGCCUCGUUCUGACAAGAGGCGGCGCGACAUGGACGACUCCGACCGCGAACUCGAGCUCGACAGAUCGUGACGACGCUGCGCCACAUCAAGGACAAGGCUCACAAGGACGGCCAGAAGAAGACCGAGCAGGCCAUCUCCAGGUGAUUCCACCUCCCCAUGUUUCUCCCCGGUCAAUUUCGUAAUGCUAGUGUGCACACUGUUUCUACCAGCCCCACUCUUAUGGGAGAUUUGUUGCCUGCAACACUAGGGUUCAGUGGCUACGAGUACCUGGAGUCCUGAACCUGCUGCCUGCCCUGAAUCCAAACCUUCUGCAUGCCCUGUAUCUGAACCUGCUGUAGGCCCUGUAUCCGAGCCUGCUGUAUGCACUGUAUCUGAACCUGCUGUAUGCACUGUAUCUGAAUUUAGGCUUCAGGAGUCUGUAAUUGGAUGUGAACUAGGAAUUACCAGUGUCAUGUUGUUUGUGAACGAUCAGGUGAUGAUUGAAGUAGUAGGUACCAAUGCGAUGACAGGGCUUAGAAGUGUUGCGUGCACCUUUUGGUUUAGCAUGAUUUAUCCACCUUGUUCAGAGUGAACCAUAGCUAGUUUUUUUUAUCGAAUAUAUGCAUCGCAUCCACCUCCCCAUUUUGUCCAUGUCUCACUCUCAAAAUAGCCUGCAAAGACUUGGGGGUUAUAUUAUUAUUUCUGUUUACUGCAUUGCAUUUAGAUAUUGGAAGUCUAUGUUCGCAUCACCAAAGUAGCAGGACAGCACCCCGUUGUUGUCAGGUUGUUUGUGACUGCUUAGGUCUCGUAUGUAAUUUCUCGCCAGUAGAUCCUAAACUUGCAAGGCGACAUUUUAGGCACAUUGCAAUGUUGUGGCAGUUGAUCAUAAACUUAUGGGAGAUUUGUUCCCUUCAAUGGUAUGAUUUUGCAGUUAUGAGUGUUAUCAGUGCUUCUAGCCUGCUGUAUGCCUGUACCUGAAUUUAGGUUCCAGAAGUCUGUAAUUGGAUGAGAACUAGGAUUUACGAGUGUUAUAUUGUUUGUGAAAGUUCGAGUGACCAUAUGAUGAUUGGAGUAGUGGGUAUGGUAGAUGCAACGAUAGGACUUGAAAGCGCUGCGUGCACCGGUUGGUUUAAGACGAUUUAUCCACCUUCUUUGUGGAACUAUAGCUAGUUAUUUUGAUAGAAUAUAUGUAUUCCGCCUUCCCAUUUUGUUCUUGGCUCACUCUCACAAUGGCCUGCAAAGACUUGGGAGUUAUGUAAGGGUUUCUGUUUACUGUAUUGCAUUUAUAUAUUGGAAAUCUAUGUUUGCAUCACCAAAGUAGCAGGAUCGCGUACCAUGGUUGUCAGGUUGUUUGUGACUGCUUAGGUCUCGUAUGUAAUUUCGCACCAGUAGAUCAUAAAGUUGUAAGAGAAAUUUUAGGCACUUUGCAAUGUUGUGGCAGUUGAUCAUAAACUUAUGGGAUAUUUGUUCCCUUCAAUGGUAGAAUUUUGGAGUUAUGAGCGUUAUCGGUGCUUUUAGCCUGCUGUAUGCCUGUAUCUGAAUUUAGGUUUCAGAAGUCUGUAAUCGGAUGAGAACUAGAAUAUGAGUGCCAUGUUGUUUCUGUAUGUUCGGGUGCCCAUCUGAUGAUUGGAGUAAGUGGGCAUGUACUGAUGCAAUGAUAGGACCUGGAAGCGUUGUGUGCACCUAUUGGUUUGAACAUGAUUUAUCCGCCUUCUUUGUGGAACGAUAACUAGUUUUGUUGAUCGAAUAUAUGCAUCCACCUUCCUAUUUUUCUCCUGACUCAUUCUCAGAAUAGCCUGCAAAGACUUUCGGAGUCAUGUAACUGUUUCUACCUGCUGUGUUGCAUUUAGACACUGGAAAUCUGUGUUCGCAUCUCCAAAUUAGCAGGGCAGCAUACCAUGGUUUUCCUGAUUGGUCAUGACUGCUUAGGUCUUGCAUGUAGUGCUGCGCCAGUAGAUCAUAAACUUAUAAGAGACAUUUUAGGCACUUUGUAAUGCUGUGGCAGUUGAUCAUAAACUUAUAAGGAAGCAUAGCAUACAUGAUCACCGGUAUGAAGGAUAGAUUCAUAUGAUGAAUUGAUGACCUCUCAGUGUGUAUAUUCAGUGGCUCAAAAUUUGAGCCUUUCCUGUCUGACAAAGGUCCCAAGUUAUGUCUAUUGCACACAUUUCAGCUGCUGGUAGAAUUUAAAUAGAUUCUUUUAACUUUCAGCGUUACAACAGAGAUUCAAUCUAUGGUACAGGACAUCAAGACAGUUUGAGAAGGAAAGGUGAACUGAGCUGUUUCACUCGUCUUUAACUUUCUGUGUGUAGGAAUAGAAAUUUCUGCUAUCCUUUUUAUAGUAAAGAUUUGGUAUGCUCUUUUUUUACUCAUUGCUUCAACAUGAACACAUACGUAAGCUAGUUCUUGAUAAUGAAAACUGUGAAUGUCCAUUGAAAUGUAGUCUGAAUGCUGACAAAUGUUACUGAUUGCAUUAGCUGGCAGAAGGUUCUUAAAGCUCUAACGAAGGCUUCCAAAGUGGUUUUUGAACUUCAAUUGAUACAAUGAUGUGCAUCCGGUUAUCUAAAAUAGUUUGGUUCCCAGCUUUAUUUUUAGUGCAGUGUGAAGGUUCAUUGAAGACCGACUACACCAAAUCUCAAGCCACACUCAUGACAAGUUCUGCAAAGACAAGGCUUCACACAUACAGAAUUUCAAAGGGACGCCGAAUGGGCGUCUGCUACCAUAUUUUCUGAAGUCUAUGGCAUAUAUACACCCUACGUGUUACGAUAAAUACAUACAUGUAGAACAUAGUCUGCUCUUGCCCUAGCUAUUGACUCUAGAAGAACAGUAGCUGCUUCCUGUCUAAUUAUAUAAGCAUAUUUGCGUAUAAAUGAGUUUAUUAUCGUUUCCCUGACACAUGUAGGAGAAUUAUUGCCAAAAGUUAUCCAAAGAAAACCAUGUCUUUGUUAACCUUUUAAGCUGGUCAAACUGUGUGUGCAGUUUAUGAGAAAUCGUGCUACUGGCUAUUAAAUACACUUAAUUGUUUAUCAUUUGUUUGAAAGGAUGAGCCAAUAUCUUCAUGUUAUACUUGCGCAUAAUGAGACCUGAAUUUGUAGUUUCUUGCCACAUAAUGAAUGAUCUCUAUUGUCGAUUACUUACUUGUCCACACGUCGUGUUCUGCAGAUUUUUUUCUCAAAGUUUGAAGUUGAAAAGGAGAAGCUGAUAGUUCAGUAUGAGCUGCAAAGUAAGUAGAUGCUUACACUACUUAUGUACUCCCCUGUUCGGCUGUUCCUAAAUAUAAGACGUUUGGCAGUUCGAUUUAAACUGCCAAAACGUCUUAUAUUUAGAAACGGAGGUAGUAGGAAAGAUGUUUGCUGUAGUAGCUUGUCUUUUGAACAGUUCUUGUGUGUGGAAGAUUCUUUGCUCUUGCACAAAUACUAUCACUUAAACAGGGUAGAAGGAAGAGACUAGUAUUUCUGAUGUUGAGAAAAGAGUUACAGAGAAGCUAGCAGAUGCAGAAGAAUCUCUGAAGAAGUUGAAUCAGGGUAGGGUGACAAAUCCAUCAUCAAGCUUCGCUAGUCCUUUGCCUCGUUCCUGGGCCCCCGGUGACGAGGACUGAUACGGCUCUUGCCAGAUCGUUCCGUCUUUCAGAUCGAAGUGGACAGUGGUAUAUGGUUUUGAAGAAGAGAGAUGAUGCACAGUACAGGGGCAAGAAGAGUAGGUUUCUAUAGAGGUUUCGGUGUUCCGGUCAUGAUCAAAACUAUCUUUUUUCCUGCUCUUACAUUCAGCAGCCAUUGCUAAACUUGUGGCCGACCUUUGCUCAUGUUUUCCAACAUGUAUAUUUUCUAGCACCCUUCCCUAUGCCUGGACCAACAACAUUCAGUAAGAAACAUAUAGUGCCACAUAUAGAUAUAUCAAGCAAUUAUACAAUCUUGUCAUGUAUGUUUUCAUCGGAAAAUAGAAAAGUUUACAUCUAUUGCAAGGUUUAUCAUAUGAGCUACUGUAGUUGUUUUUAUUUUUUGAAAAGGUUUGUGAGCUAGUUAUAAGUAUAUACAUGGCAUCCUGAACUCUGAACUCUGAAGGGGCCUUUCACCUUGACCAUGAGGCGCUUCAGGCUGGUCCGGCACCGGCGGACUCCAUCCAUGGACAUGAACUGCGUCUCGC